ACAUACUUUUAUAAGUGUUUCCCAUUUAACUUUGAUAUAAUGGAUUUGUUAGAUCAUUGCUUUUUUUAUUUUUUUAUUAUUUUUUAAACGGCUUUGUGAUUGUUAAUUUGUUCCCAAUAACAUUAAUUUUAGGCGUCCGGAGUUGGGCAUUGAUCUUUAACAUUAUACCGUGUAGAUCUGGUUAUAAGUCUUUCAUUUUUGGCUAAAUAUGCAUUAACCAGUCCCGGUGGUCGAAUAUCUAUGCUUACAACUAACUAUGAACCCUACCAUAUUCCACCUUUUUCUACGCUCUCCAUUUGUUUUAUUCUUUAUUUUUCCAUUCAAUUUUGGAAACUCUUGUAGUAUGAUAAAGUCAGUGACUUGUCACUUUAUAAGUCCAAGUCUUCUACAUUGAUCACCCACUUGCAAAAGUAAGACCUACAAUAUUUAUAUAUAUCACGGUUAAAAAUUAUCCAACUUACUGCUGACCAAUGUUAAAUAUAGUUAAUUCAAAUUUAUUAAAACAUAUAUGAGUGAGUUGAUAAUUCCUGACCCAUUUUAUUAUUUUACCACCCUAUAUAUAGUACAUCUUUCCGUAAUCAGUUCUUGGUUGGAGCCGCAAAUUAAAAUAAUAAACAAAGCUUCCUCGACCACUUCUUCCAUCAUAUGCUGCUUGUUCGUGAUUUGGAUUAUCAUGGUUUCACCUCAUGUACUCUCUGCGCGGAAAUUAGCCACCACUCCCAGCAACCGUUACCUAUCCUUUCCAGCAUGACGCAGUAGUUUGGGACGCUGUACUGACUACAACCGGUGCCGUACAAACAGUAAUCGACAGAAGCAUAAGCUCUCUUUCUCUCUCUUCUCUAGGUCUCUCUCCCACAUUCAUAUUCAUUCAUUUUGUUGAUUUGAGUUUUGCAGAUCGCGGAGGAAGUAAUACGGCAUCAACUAAAAACCCUCUUCCACACCACGGCCAAAAGCGCAAAUGACGGAGGAAGUAAAAUGGCAUCAAAUAAAAAUCAUCCACACCACGGUCAAUCUGCUAUGCCAUCAGGACGAGUACCAAAAGGUUCAAAAGUCUCAAAUCAAACAAAUUGACCCAUUGAGGCAGUCGUAUGGGACCACGUAUGCCCGGUGCCGUAUAAAUUAACGGUCAUCCAUAGAAGUAUAAGUUGGUAAAACCGAAACAAGCAAAGCAGCGGGUUCACAUAUUUGUGGGGGGAAUUUUAGUCAUUUGUAACCUCACAUUCCUUUUAUUUGGAUGAUAUAUAUAUAUAUGAUCAGCAGUGCUACUCAAAUAAAAGUGCAUUCUAAGUCCUAGUUUAUAUUUUUAAAUG